CGACCACGAGGGGAGUUUUUCUGUUUCGAAACUUCUCCGGUUAAUUAUCUAAUUUCACUUUAUUUCGUGCAUAAAGACAACUUUUGAUUGACCGCGUCAUCAUAAAUGUUUUUCCUUGUGUGGCGAAAAGUGCUGAGCUAUGGAUUCACUUCACCUCAACGCCAUCCCCAAUUUCUAGGAAGGAUCAAUUCAUAUUGUGAACAUUAUAGAGGUAAAAAUUGAUCAACAUUGAAGGCAAACAGGCAACAGAGCUGAAGAGAGCGACUGGCCAGGAUGGUGCUGGCAAGCUGCGACAACGUGUACAACUGUUGGGGGAGAAACUGGAGCCAAGCAUAUCUGGCCGCGCUGUAGACCAUCCAUGUAUAGUUGACCAGAGGGACGCGUAAUGACGUUACGGAGCGGGAGCCGCAAGAUUGGGGCAAGAGAUGGCGUGGUAACCAUGGACAGCGCCAAAGGGAGAGCACCUCGACGGGAAAACCACUGGUAAUUGAAGCUGGUAGAGUGCUGUGACAUCUCUCGUAAACAAGCUGGGUUAUGGACAAGGAUCACGUCAACCAAGUUCAAAUGUCUUGAACACGAUAGGGCCCCUUCCAUUCUGACUGGAAAAGACAUCUAUCAUCUGUGGUUUGUGCAUGAUCAUUAGGGUAUGCACAGUUUCUUUGCUGGGAUAAAUGGAAAGCAGCGGAAUUCAACGAUGGUGUGACAGCAUUUCCUGUCCUUGCCAAGUACCUAAAUAUUUGAUGACAUCAAUCCGUCGUAUAUUGCAAUGUCCACAAUCAUUUUAUUGUCAUCUUUUAAUGGCUGUUGUUAAUUGGAAGUUUAAGAUUGAAUAGUAAAGCGUAUUUGAUGAGACCGGCAUUUGGGAUUAAAGUCCCUGUCCCUGAUCGAGAGUGGCUCAAUCAUCAAUUGCGUGCAGACCACUUGGCUUUACAGUGUGCCUGGGUUAAACUAGUGCAAGAGGAGAUCAUUGAAAUCACUUGACAGAAAACUGUGCUGAACAUCUUUUUCCUUUGCUCACAGUCCUUAUCAUGAUUUGAGCUUUGGUUUACCAGUUACAUCCUCAGAUGGAACAUAACAUGCAGGACAUUGUGAACAUGGAGAAUAUAAAGAAGAACUUAGUGCUCCGGAAAAUACCUGAAGAUUUACUUUUUAGCUCAGCGGGGGAGCUUAUACGAUACCGUGGCGUCAGCGGAGCACGUUUCGUCACCGCUCGGACAAGAUGGCUAAAACUUGGUGUGAUGGUAGCUUUGGGCAAUAUGCCUGGACAUAUUUUUCUUUUUCGCGAUAUGACCUACUUUCUGGCCUCCAGGCGGCCAUCUUGGAAAUUGCUUUUUUGCCUUUUUGAAGCUAAUGGUUGUAUGUAGAGUGACGAAAUUUUUAUGGUGGGUGUAUCUAAUAAGGUUAAAUGACAUAUCACCCAGGUUUUUGAUUUGACCUACAGGUUUUUCUGCCUUUGAGGGCAAAUCUGCAUACCAGUAAUUAUAUGCAGACUUAAGUUUUGCUUUGAAGCAAUAUCAGUGUUCAGGUCUUGUCUGCCUCGCUGACAUAUCUGCAUACCAGUAGUUAUGUGCAGACUUGGCUCUUUCUUUGGAGCAGUACAGUUGUAAGAUAAAUCCUGUUUGUAAUUUUAUAAAUUAGUUGCUCAUUAAGGGCUUACGAAGGUUUUGAUGCCUUGCUGGCAUAUCUGCAUACUAGUAUGUGCAGAUUCAUUUCUUGCUUUGAAGCAAUAUUGUUGCUACACUCCUAAAGCGGUGGCAAUGUUCAGGUCUUUUCUGCCUCGCGGGCAAAUCUGCAUACCAGUAAUUAUGUGCAGACUUGGCUCUUCCUGAGAUUGUAGGACUGGGUCCAUUGAAUGUAACAAAAAUAAUCGAUGCCUAUUUGCAAAUGAAAUGAAGAGUCUGCAUUUUGGUGCAACUCCAUAUAACUGUCAGGUGAUUUCGCUCUGAACUUGUGACACUCUGAUUGGUCUGAAAUAAUCAUAAUCCCGCCCCUCUGGGAAAAUUUUGCAGCCAGAUUGCACCAUUUCCUGUUACCGUCUGAGAGAUGGCGAUGUCAGGGGCGCAUGACGGUGGUUAAACCUAUUGCGAAUGGGCAACACAAUUGGGUGUAGGAUAUUCGGAAACCAUUGCACACUCCUGAAUCUGCGGUGGGUUGGUACCCCACGCUACGUAAGGAGUAGGUUGACGGGUAAAACUUGGUCCACGUGAAUGGGUCGUGCCUUAAAAAUGAUGAGAAGUUGCGAAUUGACGCCCUGUGAAGUGUCCCUCGACCAGCUAGUGCUAAUCCGGUCACUGUCUCCAGGUCACCAUGCCUCGGUCAAUGAGCGGGCGAAGCACCCAAUGGCUCCGUCAGGAGUACAUCGUCAACUUCAGCCCGUAGUCAAACCGGUACACGCACAAAUAUCUUAGUUGAGAGUGGGGGACAUCAGUAAAGUGCUUCUCAUCGGGGUAAUACAGUACCACUGUAUACAAUGACCCCAUUUUUUGUUGGAUUCAUUUCCACUGAGAAGUGGUCGAUAAUGAGAAUUUCAGGCCAGUCUGAUUAUCACCAGUACAGAGGGCAAUUAUCUAAUAGUUUUGUGGCUUUCCCUCAAACUGUAUACUCUUUCAUGUCAAUUGUAAAUUAGUGUUGCUUGGUGGUGUUCAGGGUCUUUUUGUCGAACAGGCAU